rnacentral:lncRNA from 1 species
UGGAAUCAAGAGGACCAGUCGUUCCGGGAGGCCUCCCUGCUACCUUUGGGGCCUUUGGCAAGUCCCUGAAAGUUUCCAGGUUUCAGCCACCUAUUUGGGCUCUGGGGAGAGGAAUGCCUACCAUUUGCCUCUGGCUCUGGGAUUUUAAAAGGAAAAGCAGCAGAGUCUUUGGAAAAACCAAUCUCUGAAGACCCAGGGUGAACAUUAGUUACAACACCCUAGCUUCGAGGUGAUGUAAACUUCAGCAAUCCUGGUAGAUUAUAUUUGUUAUAUGAAACAGAAUCCAUCCCAGAUAUUUUAAGGAGGAACAGAAAACAUUAAAGUAGGUAUGUAUAAAAUAAUGGAAAGGCCUGGAAGAAUGACAUAGGUUCUAGAAAUAGAAAUGACUCCAAGAAUACACAAGAACUGACCUGCGAGGGGAAGGUACUACUUCUGCCCAAAUCUGCACCUUCAGGAAGUUGUAAGACCUAAAGACUGCCAAUGGAAAUAAAAGUUAAAACACAUGGCAUCAUGUGUGUCAUACUAGGAUCUAAACAUCAGCGAACUGGAAUCAAGAUACCAUCAUGACUGCAACCUCCUCUCAACACCCAUCAGGAGGUGAGUCAACAUGGAAUCAUUGUAGAAUCGGCCCCA